rfam:Candidatus Kaiserbacteria bacterium RIFCSPLOWO2_12_FTLL_45_26 rifcsplowo2_12_scaffold_0, whole genome shotgun sequence.
UUACAGGAAUGUAAGGGUGUAUGGUGGAUGCCUAGGCUUCAAGAAGCGAUGAAGGACGUGUUAUGGCUGCGAUAAGUUUCGGCGAGGUGCCAAAUAACCUUUGACCCGUAAAUUUCCGAAUGGGGAAACCCUCCUGUCAUUGGCAGGAAUCUACGUAUGUAGAUGCGCACCCAGCGAAGUGAAACAUCUCAGUAGCUGGAGGAAUAGAAAGCAAUAGACGGAACUUUCUUUCUGGACAGAUGCAUUGCAUCUCGUCCUAGAUUUAUCUUGGACGGUGGUGCUUUGCACCAUUAUGUUCAGGAAGAAGGUUCUUGCGAUUCCCUGAGUAGCGGCGAGCGAAACGGGAACAGCCCAAACCAUUGAUGUUUACAUCAGUGGGGUUGUAGGGCAAAAACGGCAUUUAGUUGCAAAGAGUUACAAAACGUAUGUAUAGAAAAAUGAGCUGGAAAGCUCGACCCCAGUAGGUAAUAGUCCUGUAUUCGAAAUGCAUAUAUCUCUUUUGUUUUUGUUCCUGAGUAGUUCGAGACAUGAAUAGCUCGAAUGAAUCCACCAGUACUAACUGGUAAGGCUAAAUAUUCUUGGAGACCGAUAGUGAACAAGUACCGUGAGGGAAAGGUGAAAAGAACCCCGGAGAGGGGAGUGAAAUAGAUCUGAAACCAUACACCUACAAGGAGUCGGAGCCUGGGAUUUAUCCUGGGUGACGGCGUGCCUAUUGAAGAAUGAGCCGGCGAGUGUACCUUUAUCCUUUGUCUAAGUGGUAGCCCCACGGAGGCACAGUGAAAGCGAGCGUGAAUAGCGCGAAUAUAGGGUAGGGGUACGACCCGAAGCGUGAUGAGCUUACCAUGAGCAGGGUGAAGCGACUGUAAUAGGUCGUGGAGGCCCGAACCCGUUAGCCGUACAAAACUAUGGGAUGACUUGUGGUAAGGAGUGAAAAGCUUAUCGAAUUACGUAAUAGCUGGUUCUCUCCGAAACAGCUUUUGGGUUGGCGUCGUGUGGUCCCCCUGGGGGUAGAGCACUGGAAAGAAACGACAGGGAGAAAUCUCGCGUUUCUUAUCAAACUCCGAAUACCAGUGGAUUAUAGCACGGCAGUUAGACUACGGGGGAGAAGCUCCGUUGGUCGAAAGGGAAACAGCCCAGAUCGCCAGUUAAGGUCCCUAAAUAUAUACUCAGUGCAACUUGAGGAGGUGAGGAUUCUCAAACAGCCAGGAGGUUGGCUUAGAAGCAGCCAUCCUUUAAAGAAAGCGUAACAGCUCACUGGUCGAGAGUCCUUGCGCCGAAGAUGAUCGGGGCUCAAGUAUAUUACCGAAACUGCGGAUUCGUACAUUUAUGUACGAGUGGUAGGAGAGCGUCCUUCUCUGCGAUGAAUCCAAGGCGAGAGCCACGGUGGAGCGAGGAGGAGUGAGAAUGCCGGCACAAGUAACCGCAAGACGGGUGAGACCCCCGUCCGCCGAAAUACCAAGGUUUCCUUUGCUAUGUUGAUCAGCGAAGGGUUAGUCGGUCCUAAGGGAAUCCCGAAUGGGGGACCCGAUGGAUAGCAGGUUAAUAUUCCUGCACACUGUUAUGUUCCUAUGGAGGGACGGAGCGUUGUACUUAUAGCAUCUUAUUGGAUUGAUGCUGGAGCAUUGAGGAAGUCACGUAGGCAAAUCCGCGUGGCAAUAUUCCGAGAUGAGUCUGAAUGUGCGGCUACGGCCAAGCAAAUAUAAGGAGCACGCUUCCAAGAAAAACUUCGUUUGGGUUAAGCAUAACAGUUCCGUACCGCAAACCGACACAGGUGGUAAAGUCGAGAAGACUAAGGCGAACGAGUGAGAGGUCCUCAAGGAACUCGGCAAAAAAGCGGCCGUAACUUAGGGAUAAGGCCUGCCCCCAUCACUUUGGGUUUGAAAAAGUGCGUCGUGUACUUAUAGGAUGAAAAUAAUGGCAAGGGACUUCGCAAGAAGUUAGGUAAUCGCCUCCGAUUGUUCGGAAACAGGCGUGUUGCAUCUCUACAGCACAGUCAUUAUGAAUUCAUCUCCGAAGAAAGUCAGCUAUAACAAAGCUCAAGACUAAUCUUCGGUCAUCCUAUAAGUACACGACCAAUAAUCAAAUUCGAAUCUAAAGUGAUGGGGGCCGCAGCGAAAGAUUUCCUGGCGACUGUUUAACAAAAACACAGCUCUCUGCGAACACGUAAGUGGAUGUAUAGAGGGUGACGCCUGACCUAUGCUGGAAGGUUAAAUAUGGGGGGUGGUAUGAGAUUCGUCUUGUACUGCUGGACUAUAUAAGCCCCAGUAAAUGUCAGCGAUAACUAUAAUCGUUCUAAGGUAGAGCGCAUUUCCACGCAAGUGUGAAGUACGCUCUACGGAUUGGAACGGUUAUAGGUUAAACAGCCUAGCCAUAGUUACCUUACCUAUUGAAAGAUAGAGUAAUCCAAAUCUAGCCAACAAGAGACCAAAUGCUAGAAACCCGAAACAGGCGUAAGUGCUGUGGGUUAAGAUAGAGUCCUAUUGUGAAAUGAUCCAGAGAAGCAAUUCUUUGGGGAGAAGGGAAUAUAGAGCGUAUUUCCUUGUCGGGUAAGUUCCGACGUGCACGAAUGGCGUAACGACUGGGAAACUGUCUCGAGGACCUGCUCGGUGAAAAUACAAUCGCGGUAAAGAUGCCGCGUACCUGCAGAUAGACGAAAAGACCCCAGGUGCUUUACUGUAGCUUCGUAUUGGGGCUAUUGAAUUAAUGCGUAGUAUAGUGGGGAGACUUUGAAGUGGGCUUUCGGGUACCAUGGAGUCGUCAGUGAAAUACCCAUCUUUAUUUUGGUAGUCUCUAACCAGAUAGACAAAAUCUAUUUGAGACAGUGCGUGGCAGGCAGUUUUAGUGGGGCGCUACCCUCCCAAAAAGUAACGGAGGGGUCUCAAGGUUGGUUAAUCGCGAAUGGAAACCGUGAUGAUAGUGUAAUGGCAUAAACCAGCUUGACUGUAAGGCGUAGAUGCCGAACAGACGCGAAAGCGGAGCAUAGUGAACCGAUGGUACGCGUUAGAUGCGGCCGGAGAUUACCCGAUAAAAGUAACCCUGGGGAUAACAGGCUAGUCGUGCCCAAGCGUCCAUAGCGACGGCACGGUUCGGCACCUUAACUUAUGUAGUUAUCUUGUUCAUUUUGAGCAAGUAAAAUCAAAAAACAUACAUCGGGGUGCCUAGAGUAGCGAUACUCUACAAAAACAAAUCGGCUAAUACGGUGAACGCCAUGCCAGCCACUAAUACAUAUAUAUGUAGUAGAAUAAGGACAUGGUCAAUACCGUGGAAAGACUAAACCAAUUUCAGAAGUCAGUAAUUAUUGGCACUAUACUUGGAGAUGGAUACAUCCGUAUCGUUUCAGGUCGCCAAAAUGCCUUUCUGGAAAUUAAUCACUCAGUUAGUCAAACUGAGUACGUUUUAUGGAAAUAUAACGUACUCAAAGGAAUCAGGGCUGGCGCACCAAAAGUGCGAAAUGGUAACGGAAAGCGCAAAGCAAUUCGUUUCUAUACCAGGCAAUCAUCAGAACUUGCAGAACUUAAGUCUAUAUUCUAUAUAGACAAUGUAAAAGUAAUUCCUCAUGACCUGCAACUCGAUUCCGUUUCACUGGCAGUGUGGUUCAUGGAUGACGGAAGUCGGUGUCGAGAAUCUGAUGUGUACUUAAAUACACAACAAUUUGACAUCGAAAGUCAGUUAAUUCUUAUCCGAGCCCUAAAAAAGCUUGGACUUGAUGCAACUCUCAACAAAGACAAGCAGUAUUUUAGAAUACGAUUUCUUAAGAAAAGUAUUCCUAAAUUGUUUGAACUUAUUGAAUCGACAAUUAUUCCGUCAAUGAAAUAUAAGAUUGGUUUAGAAUCCGUAGAGACUACACGCCGAUCUCCCACGUUAAUUACGUUGGAUGAAGAUAUAGUCCGAUCCUCACAGUAAUGUGAGACCCGCAUAUGCUUUUAAUACUUCUCACGCGGUAUUAAAAUAAAAAGCAUAUGUUACGACAGCGAUGUCGGCUCGACUUAUCCUGGGGCUGGAGCAGGUCCCAAGGGUUUGGCUGUUCGCCAAUUAAAAAGUCACGUGAGCUGGGUUUAGACCGUCGUGAGACAGGUUGGUCUCCUAUCUACUGCAGGCGUCGAUUCUUGAGGAGAGUUGUUCCUAGUACGAGAGGACCGGAAUGAACGAACCUCUGGUCUAUCUGCUGUCACGCCAGUGGCAUCGCAGAGUAGCUAUGUUCGGAAUGGAUAACCGCUGAAAGCAUCUAAGCGGGAAGCCAACUCCAAGAUUAGGAAUCAUUAAGUCCCCUGAGAGAUGAUCAGGUUGAUAGGCACUAAGUGGAAGUACAGCAAUGUAUGGAGCUGAGGUGUACUAAUAGGGCGUAAUUCCUGUAAGG